rnacentral:rRNA from 1 species
UACGUAGGGUGCAAGCGUUGUCCGGAAUUAUUGGGCGUAAAGAGCUCGUAGGCGGUUUGUCGCGUCUGCUGUGAAAACUGGAGGCUCAACCUCCAGCCUGCAGUGGGUACGGGCAGACUAGAGUGCGGUAGGGGAGAUUGGAAUUCCUGGUGUAGCGGUGGAAUGCGCAGAUAUCAGGAGGAACACCGAUGGCGAAGGCAGAUCUCUGGGCCGUAACUGACGCUGAGGAGCGAAAGCGUGGGGAGCGAACAGG